AUGAAACUGUACCCCUUGUGGCUAGCUCUAGUCAGCACUAUUGAUAUGUGGGUAAAGUACUUCUUUGUUGAGGUGCCGCCUGCUUCUCAGGGUGCUUAGUAGAAUCCCAGCCAUCACGGAGCCUGGUACUAUCUAGAGAUCCAGACUUGGACUUGGAACAUAGCCUCUGCAAAUGCAAGCAAGAGGAUUCUAUUUUUGUUUUUUUUUUUUCCUGAACUCUGGUCAAAUGAGGUGAUUUUCUUUGUGCUUACUGGCCAGAAUAAUGUUUGUGUUUUAAAUUUCAAGUACUUACCAUGCUCUGACAUAUGCCUAUAAAUAUGUCACUCUUUCAUACUGAUCACAAAAGCUACAGGUGCCUGAUGCAUCAUUAGGAGUCUACUGCAACAUGUUACUGUAUUGAGAAUCGCCAAGAGCAAUGAAGGCUGGUGAAUAAAUGAAUGGACAUGUGAGCAAAUGUUAACAGUGCUCUCUAUUUCCCGGACUUUCCUAUCUGCAGGAGCACUGCUUAGACCAUUCAAUUCCCCACAAUUGGAAAUUGUUUAUUAUUCUUACUGAGAAACAGUGAGACAUGGUCUCAUUCUGAAGCCAAGGCUGACCUGGAUUUCAUAGUGAUCCUCCUGCCUCAGCUCCCCACAUAUUAGGACUACUUGUAUAAGCCACUAUGCCCAGCCUAUUAUUCUAAUUCCUACACUAGGAGAAAUGGAGUCUCAAAGAAGAAGGCAGCUUAUCGACAGUUUCAGCUAACUAGAAUAGCCAGCCAUUUAUACCCAGCUGUGCAAUUCUAAAGUCUGAGAACCAGCCCCAUCCCACCACCUCCAGCCCCACACCAGUCCAUGAUUCUGACAACUGUGAUCAAAACAGUCUUUCCUUGCUAUUUUUCAUGACUCUCUUCCAAGCCAAAAAAUAGCCAUCUUAGAGAAUUAGGCUGUUCCUGAUUCUCAAGGGUCGUCCCAGCUGAGUUGAUGGGCUGUUUCAUUCUCUCUUGGAAGGUCCAGGAAGGGUCAUGAGACCCUCACCUGCAUACCCAGCUGCUCACACCUGGUGUAUGCACCUCUGCCUUGGGUAGGGCAUAAGCAGGGAAGACUUGGAUGGGGGUGAAAUCCAUCUAUACAAUUAGAGGGAAGCCCCCACCCCUGUAAGUAAAGAUAAAAGGGGGCUAGAGAGAGAUGGCUCAAUGGUGAAGAGCACCGACUGCUCUUCCAGAGGUCCUGAGUUCAAAUCCCAGCAACCAUAUGAUGACUCACAACCAUCUGUAAUGGGAUCAGAUAUCCUCUUCUGGUAUGUCUAAAGUGUGUCUACAGUGUACUUAUAUACAAUAAAUAAAUCUAAAAAAGAAAAAAAACGAUAAGGCUUUUUUGGAGAAUAGUCACAGCCCUAUAAGUAAGUCCUCAUGUACACAGGCACUGUAACAACAAACUCAUUGGUUCCCUAGAGUGAAUUUUGAAGGAAUUGUGCUUCAGUGUGUCAUCGGGGCCUUAGGAGAAGGACAGGAGGACAUUGCUUAUGUCCUCUAGAAAGGAACUUCAUCACCUCUCCCUUAUUCAUCUCCAGCCCCUGUAAUCACCUCCUGAUCUCCUCAUCAUCCUAGUGUAUCUACUUCAUCUGGAACUCAGUGCUGAAGCUCCCAUGACCAGAACACCCAAACCUGCAAAUGUCAAACCAACCGAAUGUAUGCAUUCUGUAAGCAGCCUGAACUCUCGUGACCCCCUGCUCCACAGUUUGAGUGAAACGCCAGUGUCUGGUCUGUGCACUGAAGACAAAUGCUACAGCGUUAAGACAGCUCUCUCCUGUUGUGCCUCCUAUUGCAUUCCAUACUUUUCUGUUGCUAUGAUUCAAAACAAGGCCAACUCAUCGACAGAAGGGUUUCUCUGGGCUUCUGGUUCCUGAGGGGAUAAGAGUCUAUCAUGAUGGGGCAUCCGGCCAGUGAGCAGCAGGUCUGUUGGCUGGAACGGCAGUGAGGCAGUGAGCCCACACCUCAAACUGAAAGUACAAAGUAGAGGAAGCUAACUCAAAAUGGUGUGAAUUGUCUGAGACCUCAAAGCCUGCCCACAGUGACACACUCCCUCCAGCAAGGCCACGCCUCCCAACCUUCCACCAACAGCCACCAAAUGCGGAUCAUGUCUGAGAUUUGUGGAAACAUCUCACGCAAACUACCACACUUAUGAGAGAAGGCAGAUUAUCUCCCUUUAAGAACAUGCAUACAUUAAAAAAAAAAGCAGUGUCCUGUUUUCACUUUAAAUAUACUGAGGACAGAGAAGCAUAAAGUGCUCUCAUCUGUUAUACCCCAAAGUGCUCUGUCUGCAUACUGCCCCUACCACUUUCAGGGAGGACAUCCGGUUGAUUAUCUAGACAUCUCGCUGACUCUUUGUUUCACAAUAGCCCAGAACACUGAGGCAGAGGCCUAUUAAAUGAUAUAAAUGUCUCUGAUCACCGAAAACUCACUCCUGGCAUCUCAGAUCUCACUCUGUUCGUUAGAGGCCUGGAAUGCUGUAGAAGCCAGAAAGACUUUCCAGAACUCAUUUAUAACAUCCAUACAUCCAAGCCACAUCACAUAAGCCACGACACAGAAGGCAAGAGGCACACCACGUGAUUUCUUUCUCCACGAUGGCUCAUUCGGGUGGCCAUGCCAGCUUUUCUUAGUGAGUGACAUUGGGUGUCAAGAGUACAGAUUCUGCAAAGGGUAUUUUUGUCUCUGCUGGAUGAAAGGGAGGGAAAAGAGCUUUCAAAAACUGGGAGCGUGGAGCUAAAUGACAUGGUUGGAGAGUGGCAGUGCAGAAGAAAACAAUGGCCUCGGUACAGCAAGACUGAGCUCUGGCAAUCCCAGUCUCUUGUCUGUCUUUAUAUAGUCUAAGAAACCCCAGUGACUUCUCUAUGUUUUAGUUGUCUGGGAAAGAAAAGUCAAAAGGCGCAUCGGUUCAUACCAUAUGACAAUUUUCUGAAGGCUGACUUUCAAUGUCUAGAAGUAAAGUGUUACUGGAAUUCGGGGCUAGAGGUAUAGCUAAAUGGUGGAUCGCUUGCAUGGAAUGCCCAGAAAACAAAAGCAGAAUGAGACUCAUGUGUUUAUGUCUGGUCAGUGACUGCUACCAUGCUGCUAUGGUGGAGCCGAACAGCCUUGACACACCUGACAGCCCACAGAGCCUAAAAUAUUUACCAGCAGGCUUUUCAAGGAAAAUUUAUUAACCUCUGCACUAGAUUAUCCACCUUAAAUGCUACCUAUGGAAAUUACACUAGCCAGGGUCCCCCCCCCCCCCCCGGCAUCCAAGGUUGGAAGAGGGUACCAAGGUCAGAAGUGAAAGUGUAUGAGAGUACCAUAUAAGGAUAAAAGUCUGGGCCUUUGCCUCAGCUCCAGGCUGAUUCUUAACUAUGACGUUCUGUCUUUUUAAAACCUAAGCCCACAAAAAGCACAUGUCAGAGCCAUACCCUGCCUCCCCACUAACCAACCCCGUGUAACUCCCAAGAAUGUCUGAGAUGAGUUUCCCUGGGGAUUAUCAGUACUUAGGAGAGCAGCAUCACAGUGUCAUAUCCCAGCACAGAUUGUCUGACUAGUUCUUAGAACACUGUUGAGUUCUGGGAGAGGAUGCCUCCCCUGAACCGCUCACCUUCUGUUCAGUGUCAGCGCUAACCUGGUUUUUAAGGAAGACUGGAGACAACUGAAUAGUCAUUUGUAAAACACCCUUCAGAGGCCAGCACAAUGUCCAGGUGGUCCCUGCUGCCUCCCUGUGUGAGAGAGGUAGAAAAGGCAGAGGCCGCCCUUCAUGGGCAUCAUAGCCACCUGUGAUAACUGAGUCAAGACACUGAGAAGCACUGAGGAAUGAGAUGAAAAACGUAGACAAGGGCCUCUGUCCCACAGAGCGCUAUCAUCCCACACACACCCCCACAGCUCACGAAGUGCACCUGUCAAGGGUACUCUGGACUGUGUGCCGUCUCGCUUGAUCCCAUAAGGCCCACUGCUGACUAGCUACGAAAGAAGAUCAAUUGGUGUGAUAGUGGUUAGGGUGUUAUAGCGGCAAGCAAAUGCCUUAUGAAUGGAUUUCAGACCUGCUCAACAGAAGAGAAAACACAUCUGCUACAGCUCUGCCUUUGACGUGAUAUACACAGGCACAAGAGAACACUGGAGACUAAAGCUUGAAGGUUUACAUUAAAUAAUCCCAAGGUGUUCUGGUUUGUGGGACAUUCUGAAAAGGCUGAGGAUGGAACAAAAUUUCUGUUUUUCCCUCUAGAAUGUUUAAAAUAAUACCCACGGAAGAAAUGGUCCUAAGUCAUCAUUCUGACAAUGUCACAACACUGUUCUGUUUCUCAAAAGUACCAACCACCUGCAUCUGGGUGGGACUAUUAACCGCAUCACCUGUUAUACUGUGACCUUGGGCCACCCUUGGGAACCUGAUCUCCUCCUCAAACAAACAUAGUCAUAAACUGCUCAUGCAACAGCUAGAAAAUUGAUGGGAAAUGAUGCCCAUUCUUUUAUUGUGGCCACUGCCAAACAGUAACACAAUGAGAAAACAAUGCUCUCCCAAGCUUCAGCGUUCUACCUGAGAGUCUCCUCACCCUUCCCAGCUGGUAUUUUCAUUGUACUGGGAAACACAUCA